rnacentral:lncRNA from 10 species
UUUUCCUUCUGGAGGUUUCAAUCAGAGAGACAUGUCCAGAGUGUCCUGGAAAGUCUGGAAAGUCCUUGCCUUCCCUCGGAAUGUGCUCUCUCAUGGCAGCAAACGUCGGCAGGGAGUGCAGCUUGCAAUUUCUGAGUUUAUGUUUACGAUCCUUAUUUUUAUUACCUUUGAGUGAAAGUGAUUGCUAUGGUUAUCUCCUUCUUGGAUAUAUAUAUUUUCCUUUCAUUUAUUUUCAGGAUGGUUUGAAUUUUUAUGCAUCUUCCAUCCCAUGCUCCCAAAAGAGGUGGGAAGAGCAGCCGGGAGGACCGGGGAGCCCCUCCUCUUCCCGCCUCACAGCAGACGGCAUCUCUCAGAGCAUCCCCCAAUCAAGGGACAGUCUCCCUCCUCUGCUCCUGGGGAGUGAGCAAAUAAUCCCCUCCACCUCCACACUCCCGAGUAAGCCUGAGGGGCCUUCCAGGGAGCUUCGGAGAACCCCACCUAUAACCCAAUCAGGGAGGUUGGUAGAAUGAAACCGAAAAGGAAGGAAAAAAGCAUGUACCUGCCAAGCUGGUUUCCGCUGGGUUAAAGGCCUCUGUGAAGGCAUCAUUUACCUAAAAUCAUCCAACAUUGACACUGUCACCAAGGUGGCAGUCCCUGAAUCUUGGGCCCGAGUCUCCUGCUCAAGAGGGUCACCUGUGACUCCCUCCUCUCUCAGGCCUUCCAAUACAGCCACAGCCACCCAUAUAAUUGCCCCCAAGUGCUUGGCUAGGUCUCAAUAGUGACAGGGUGCAGCUGGAAGAUCGACGUCUCAGGAGCUGAUUUACUUCUCGAAGAACCGAGUUGGACCUUACCACCACUCAUUUUGGCCCUGACCCCAUCCUGUCUUUGGGCCUGUGGAGCAGAGUGGUCAAGCCAUUCCUACUGCAGGGCAGCUGGAGUGGGGCCUUUAGAAUGAAUCUGAGCCAGAUUCCAGCAAAGUUCAACACACUCAAGCUCUGCACCCUCAGGAUGAUGUAGCCCACGGUGCCUGGCUGGACCAAGAAGAAUGAGGACCAGGGCUGUGCUAGAACCAGGUG